rnacentral:lncRNA from 1 species
AUCGGCAGAGAAGCCCACGGCGCUGCAGACUCGGAAGGGGGAGAAGCCAGGAGGGGAUGUCCUUGGAGGUCUUCAGGGGCGAGUAGGAGACUCUUUGGACAUCCCCAGCUGGCGGCAUCUCUCCGGCCAUUCUGAGGUUACAAGGCCUCUAGUUCCCUGAUCUAAAAGAAACACACGUCCCCCCUCACGGCCACAGCAGGACAUUCACUCAACCCACCUUGGACAGGCGAAGGACUCCACUUUCACAUUAGUGACCCUGUUUCAACAAAAAUCCAUACAGGAGUUUAAAUAACCAGACAGCACAGGUCCCUUCCACGGCGGCUCUGUGCACUCAGCUCUCAACAGUCUGGUGAGCUCAGGAAGGGAUUCAGGACCCCAGGAACAAGCACUUCCCACCUCACAUCUGGACCUGGAGUUCUCGAUAGUCUGGCGAGCUCAGAAAGGGACUGGGGGACCCGGGAACCAGCCCUUCCCACCUCACAUCUGGACCUGGAGCUCUCGAUAGUCUGGAGAGCUCAGGAAGGGAUUCGGGACCCAGGAACCAGCCCUUCCCACCUCACAUCUGGACCUGGAGCUCUCGAUAGUCUGAAGAGCUCAGGAAGGGAUUCGGGACCCAAGAACCAGCCCUUCCCACCUCACAACUGGGCCUGGAGCUCUCGAUAGUCUGGAGAGCUCAGGAAGGGACUGGGGGACCCAGGAACCAGCACCUUCCACCUCACAUCUGGACCUGGAGCUCUCGAUAGUCUGGUGAGCUCAGGAAGGGAUUCGGGACCCAGGAACCAGCCCUUCCCACAUCACAUCUGGACCUGGAGCUCUCGAUAGUCUGGAGAGCUCAGGAAGGGACUGGGGGACCCAGGAACCAGCCCUUCCCACCUCACAUCUGGACCUGGAGCUCUCGAUAGUCUGGUGAGCUCAGGAAGGGAUUCGGGACCCAGGAACCAGCCCUUCCCACCUCACAUCUGGACCUGGAGUUCUCGAUAGUCUGGCGAGCUCAGAAAGGGACUGGGGGACCCAGGAACCAGCCUUUCUCACCUCACAUCUGGACCUGGAGCUCUUGAUAGUCUGGUGAGCUCAGGAAGGGAUUCGGGACCCAGGAACCAGCCCUUCCCACCUCACAUCUGGACCUGGAGUUCUCCAUAGUCUGGCGAGCUCAGAAAGGGACUGGGGGACCCAGGAACCAGCACCUUCCACCUCACAUCUGGACCUGGAGCUCUCGAUAGUCUGGAGAGCUCAGGAAGGGACUGGGGGACCCAGGAACCAGCACCUUCCACCUCACAUCUGGACCUGGAGCUCUCGAUAGUCUGGUGAGCUCAGGAAGGGACUGGGGGACCCAGGAACCAGCCCUUCCCACCUCACAACUGGGCCUGGAGCUCUCGAUAGUCUGGAGAGCUCAGGAAGGGACUGGGGGACCCAGGAACCAGCACCUCCCACCUCACAUCUGGGCCUGGCCGUGUCCAGAGGUGUAGCUCCACCUUGGGAGUUGUGGCAAAGGUGGCUGGAACCCGGAGACACGGCCUGCACCUGCUGGAGCCAGACGUCCCCAGAGCUUCCCCUGCCUCCUUCGGGGAGCCCCCUCUGGGAUGUCUGAACCCUCUUCCUCUGGCCUCAGGAAGGAAGGCUGGGCCUCUGCAGAAAGUGGAGUGUGGGGUGUGGGAGGCGCAUCCUUACCGCACCAGAGCUGGCAUGGCUGAGCUUGUCAAAGCGGAAUUUCAGGUUCGAUCUCGGGGAGUUUCUGCUUUUGGCAUCUAAGAAAAAGAACGGCCAUGAAAGGAGGGUGGAGCUGUGGAGGCCACUGGGGCUGUGUGUGGGGACUGGCUAGGGAGGCCAGGGGAAGGGGGCCUCCUGCCCUCCACCAGGACCAGGCACCCUAGCUGACCUGUGCCGACCCACGAGAGCCAACUCCUAGAUUAUAGAAUUGUGGUGAGCUGGUUGUUCAACUCAGGCCAUUUUUUAAAGUUGAAUUAUAUAUAAGCUUACAGUUCAAUAAAUUAUAUUCAACAGAGG